rnacentral:snRNA from 1 species
ACCCGGCUAGUUUCUUGUAAUCU